UAAGGAAUAUUGGUCAAUGGACGAAAGUCUGAACCAGCCAUGCCGCGUGCAGGAAGACGGCCCUACGGGUUGUAAACUGCUUUUGUACCGGAAUAAACCUUGAUUCGUGAAUCAAGCUGAAUGUACGGUAAGAAUAAGGAUCGGCUAACUCCGUGCCAGCAGCCGCGGUAAUACGGAGGAUCCAAGCGUUAUCCGGAUUUAUUGGGUUUAAAGGGUGCGUAGGUGGUUCUUUAAGUCAGGGGUGAAAGACGGCAGCUUAACUGUCGCAGUGCCUUUGAUACUGAAGAACUUGAAUACACUAGAGGUAGGCGGAAUGUGACAAGUAGCGGUGAAAUGCAUAGAUAUGUCACAGAACACCAAUUGCGAAGGCAGCUUACUAUGGUGUCAUUGACACUGAGGCACGAAAGCGUGGGGAUCAAACA
rnacentral:rRNA from 1 species